CACAAGCUUUCCGUAGGUGAACCUGCGGAAGGAUCAUUGUCGUGACCCUGACCAAAACAGACCGCGCACGCGUCAUCCAAUCCGUCGGCGACGGCACCGUCCGUCGCUCGGCCAAUGCCUCGACCACCUCCCCUCCUCGGAGCGGGUGGGGGCCCGGGGUAAAAGAACCCACGGCGCCGAAGGCGUCAAGGAACACUGUGCCUAACCCGGGGGCAUGUCUAGCUUGCUAGCCGUCCCUCGUGUUGCAAAGCUAUUUAAUCCACACGACUCUCGGCAACGGAUAUCUCGGCUCUCGCAUCGAUGAAGAACGUAGCGAAAUGCGAUACCUGGUGUGAAUUGCAGAAUCCCGCGAACCAUCGAGUCUUUGAACGCAAGUUGCGCCCGAGGCCACUCGGCCGAGGGCACGCCUGCCUGGGCGUCACGCCAAAACACGCUCCCAACCACCCUCAACGGGAAUCGGGAUGCGGCAUCUGGUCCCUCGUCUCUCAAGGGACGGUGGACCGAAGAUUGGGCUGCCGGCGUACCGCGCCGGACACAGCGCAUGGUGGGCGUCCUCGCUUUAUCAAUGCAGUGCAUCCGGCGCGCAGCUGGCAUUAUGGCCUUUGAACGACCCAACAAACGAAGCGCACGUCGCUUCGACCGCGACCCCAGGUCAGGCGGGACUACCCGCUGAGUUUAAGCAUAUCAAUAAGCGGAGGAGGAUCCGUG
rnacentral:rRNA from 1 species